rnacentral:rRNA from 1 species
UACGUAGGGAGCAAGCGUUGUCCGGAAUCAUUGGGCGUAAAGCGCGCGUAGGUGGCCACAUAAGUCCGUUGUGAAAGUCAAAGGCUCAACCUUUGAAGGCCGAUGGAUACUGUGUGGCUAGAGUACGGAAGAGGCGAGUGGAAUUCCUGGUGUAGCGGUGGAAUGCGCAGAUAUCAGGAGGAACACCAAUAGCGAAGGCAGCUCGCUGGGACGUUACUGACACUGAGGCGCGAAAGCGUGGGGAGCGAACAGG